rnacentral:lncRNA from 1 species
UCGCGCUGUAAAACUAUCAUAGAUAUCAUUGUGAAAAAUAUGCUCCUUAACAAGUUUAGCAGAACAGGAAGGGACAAAUAGUAUGGCAAAGAGGUCAUUACAUUGUCAAGGCACACAUCCGCUUUAGAGUUUAUUAUACUGUCGUCUAAACUUGUGAAGCACCAAAAUUUAGAUGAUCGUUAAAGUCCAACGGUUAUACCAUGCUAAUCCUUCUCAAUAGAAUUCAUGGAAAGAAGGGAGGGACAAA